ACUCAAAGGAAUAGACGGGGACCCGCACAAGCGGUGGAUGAUGUGGUUUAAUUUGACGAUACGCGGAGAACCUUACCGAGGCUUGACAUCCCAGGAAUCUGCUAGAAAUAGCGGAGUGUCUUCGGAAGCCUGGUGACAGGCGCUGCAUGGCCGUCGUCAGCUCGUGUCGUGAGAUGUUGGGUUAAGUCCCGCAACGAGCGCAACCCUUGUCGUAUGUUGUAUUUUUCAUGCGAGACUGCCCGGGCCAACCGGGAGGAAGGUGGGGUCGAAGUCAGGUCAGCAUGGCCCUUACGCCUCGGGCUACACACGUCAUACAAUGGCCGGUACAACGCGUUGCCAAGUCGCAAGACGGAGCUAAUCGCACCAAAACCGGUCCCAGUUCGGAUUGCAGGCUGCAACUCGCCUGCAUGAAGUCGGAAUCGCUAGUAACCGUGGGUCAGCAUACCACGGUGAAUACGUUCCCGGGUCUUGCACACACCGCCCGU
rnacentral:rRNA from 1 species